AAAUGAUAAUGAUCCUGAAGUGAAUAAUUACCAAAAGAGCUAAGAAGCAUUAUCAACUUAGAUAAUUCAGCAUUAGUUUUCUAUAUAGGAAGAAAAAAACUUCUCAGAAAGAAGAAAAGUUUUUGAAAUGCUCCACUGUCUACACCUAAGGAGACAGAAAAAAAUAUUAUUGGGGUCUACAUCAAGUAAACUGGAAUUACAGUGACAGAGAAAGAACCCAAGCAGAGGAUUGUUCUUUUGACGGGUAAUAAUAUAACUAUUAUAUACUAUAGUUAUAUACUAAUAUAACUAUAAAACAAAGUGAUUAACUUGAUUCAAAAGAGCCAUCUUUGCUUAUUCUG
rnacentral:lncRNA from 1 species